GGAAAACUCACCGACUGAAUGUAAUAGGGGUCAUGCAGGGAUUCUACAGGAAGGUGCCUACCAAAUUUGGAUAGCGGUAGGGCAGAGUUUCCAUCAUCCAACAUAAGGGGUCUAAAAAAGAAAAGAUUCCAUCUGCUACUGAGCACAGCAACCACCAGAGAUCUCAGUGCAAGUGAUCAGCAUCUGGAAGACCCCAAAAAGCUACAGUCAUUCCACUGCCUCACAAAACUGGCCAUGUUAUUGUGCUUGAAGUACUUGGGAAGGACUUCCUUGGCAAACCUGCCUUGGUCGAAG